AUGGUUUUCCCAGGAAGGGGAAGGAUCCGUGUCGAUGCUGACAGUGUUCAGAGGGUAUUUGAUCUCCCAAAUAAGGGUCCAAAAGUCAGAUAUUUAGUUGACAAGGAUGCCACUAGGAGAUUCAGACAGGCUUUCAACAUAACUGGAAAUUCUCAUCCCCAGAUCACUACAUGGCUCAAGAUGAUUGAGCAUAUGGCUGGAAGAACGGAUGACACAUUCUUUAUGGCAUGGCUUGCGGUUGCCUUCAGCACUUUUCUAGCACCAACCACGGCCUUGAAGCUCAGCCCAAAGUGUUAUGGACUUGUGCUAGAUCAUCAAAUGCUAAAGAAUACAAACAUCUGCCUCUUUGUAGCAGAACACAUUAACGAAGCUUUCCGGAACAUGGACCAGGAGAAGCAAACUGUUUGCUGCUGCUUGUAUCACUUGAUGGUGAUCAAGAAGGAUACUAUCUCUCCUGGUGUGUUCGGCAAAUUACAACUUAAAGAGGAGUAUAGAGGCACGGAGCAGACACCACUGUUUGGUGGAAUUUUGCAAGCUGAAGCAUUUGUGGCAUCCAAGUUACCAAUAACAUACAAUCCGCAGGUUGGCACCUUCAUUGAAGAAGUUGCCAAGAUUGAUGACGAGGAACCAGAUAUUGAUCCUUACGUACAGCAGCCAUCAAUGCAAACUGGGGCAUCACGUCGUGCUCCAAAAAGAAAGAGACGGCGGUCAACUAUACAAGAAGAAUAA
rnacentral:rRNA from 1 species